rnacentral:tRNA from 3 species
GGAGGGGUGCGAGAGCGGCCGAAUCGGCGCGCUUGGAAAGCGCGUGAAGCGCAAGCUUCCGUGGGUUCGAAUCCCACCCCCUCCGCCA